GACGAACGCUGGCGGCGUGCCUAAUACAUGCAAGUAGAACGCACAGUUUAUACCGUAGCUUGCUACACCAUAGACUGUGAGUUGCGAACGGGUGAGUAACGCGUAGGUAACCUGCCUGGUAGCGGGGGAUAACUAUUGGAAACGAUAGCUAAUACCGCAUAAUAUUAAUUAUUGCAUGAUAAUUGAUUGAAAGGUGCAAAUGCAUCACUACCAGAUGGACCUGCGUUGUAUUAGCUAGUAGGUGAGGUAACGGCUCACCUAGGCGACGAUACAUAGCCGACCUGAGAGGGUGAUCGGCCACACUGGGACUGAGACACGGCCCAGACUCCUACGGGAGGCAGCAGUAGGGAAUCUUCGGCAAUGGACGAAGGUCUGACCGAGCAACGCCGCGUGAGUGAAGAAGGUUUUCGGAUCGUAAAGCUCUGUUGUAAGAGAAGAACGGGUGUGAGAGUGGAAAGUUCACACUGUGACGGUAUCUUACCAGAAAAGGGACGGCUAACUACGUGCCAGCAGCCGCGGUAAUACGUAGGUCCCGAGCGUUGUCCGGAUUUAUUGGGCGUAAAGCGAGCGCAGGCGGUUAGAUAAUUCUGAAGUUAAAGGCUGUGGGCUUAACCAUAGUACGCUUUGGAACUGUUUAACUUGAUUU
rnacentral:rRNA from 1 species